rnacentral:rRNA from 1 species
GCACAAGCGGUGGAGCAUGUGGCUUAAUUCGACGCAACGCGAAGAACCUUACCAAGGCUUGACAUAUACCGGAAAGCAUCAGAGAUGGUGCCCCCCUUGUGGUCGGUAUACAGGUGGUGCAUGGCUGUCGUCAGCUCGUGUCGUGAGAUGUUGGGUUAAGUCCCGCAACGAGCGCAACCCUUGUUCUGUGUUGCCAGCAUGCCCUUCGGGGUGAUGGGGACUCACAGGAGACUGCCGGGGUCAACUCGGAGGAAGGUGGGGACGACGUCAAGUCAUCAUGCCCCUUAUGUCUUGGGCUGCACACGUGCUACAAUGGCCGGUACAAUGAGCUGCGAUGCCGCGAGGCGGAGCGAAUCUCAAAAAGCCGGUCUCAGUUCGGAUUGGGGUCUGCAACUCGACCCCAUGAAGUCGGAGUUGCUAGUAAUCGCAGAUCAGCAUUGCUGCGGUGAAUACGUUCCCGGGC